rnacentral:rRNA from 1 species
UACGAAGGGGGCUAGCGUUGUUCGGAUUUACUGGGCGUAAAGCGCACGUAGGCGGAUCGUUAAGUCGGGGGUGAAAUCCUGGAGCUCAACCCACGAGACUGCCUUCAUACUGGCGAUCUUGAGUCCGGAAGAGGUGAGUGGAACUCCUAGUGUAGAGGUGGAAUUCGUAGAUAUUAGGAAGAACACCAGUGGCGAAGGCGGCUCACUGGUCCGGUACUGACGCUGAGGUGCGAAAGCGUGGGGGAGCAAACAGG